rnacentral:rRNA from 1 species
AUUGAACGCUGGCGGCAUGCCUUACACAUGCAAGUCGAACGGUAACAGGUCUUCGGAUGCUGACGAGUGGCGAACGGGUGAGUAAUACAUCGGAACGUGCCUAGUAGUGGGGGAUAACUACUCGAAAGAGUGGCUAAUACCGCAUGAGACCUACGGAUGAAAGCAGGGGAUCGCAAGACCUUGUGCUACUAGAGCGGCCGGUGGCAGAUUAGGUAGUUGGUGGGAUAAAAGCUUACCAAGCCGACGAUCUGUAGCUGGUACGCGAGGACCAUCAGCCAGACUGGGACUGUAACACUGCCCAGACUCCUACGGAGGGCAGCAGUGGGGCAUUUUGGUCAAUGGGCGCAAGCUUGAUCCAGCAAUGCCGCGGGGAGGAUGACGCCCUUCGGGUUGUAACCUGCUUUUGUACGGAACGAAAAGCCUUGGGUUAAUACCCUGGGGUCAUGACGGUACCGUAAGAAUAAGCACCGGCUAACUACGUGCCAGCAGCCGCCGUAAGAC